GCCAAAGCAAGCAUGACCAAGACACAAGGGUGUGGAGAAAGAUUUAACACCUGCAAGAUCACUCCUCCAUCUGGGAGAUGCCAGUCACACGGCUGGGAUGGCACUCCAGAAGUUCUAUGGAAAGACCCAAGAAGCUAGGAUCCCUGCCGUGUGGGAUGCCUCUCUGGACUGGAAAAGCUGGUCUCUCAGGCCCCCAUCAGCUCCAUGACUCAGAAGACCUGCAUUUGCCUUUGAGCGGUCCAGCGUUGAAACUGAUCCAGGAUGCUACAAGGGUUCUGACCGUUGUCUUUAUUUAUACAGCCUUAUCUCUGAUUACCUUUAAAAAACAGAAACAAUGGUUUUGAUUAAGAGGGUAAAAAUAUUGUAAAUUAAGACAAAAAU